rnacentral:sRNA from 1 species
GCCGGGAAAACCAUGAUGUGGAGAACUUGGAUGUUGUCUUGUUUCUCUAGCAACGGUCUCAGGAGCAGAUGGCCACCCAGCAAUUUGUCUGACUGUGUUGGGGCUGGGCCACUUGUCUCCAACUCAUAAGGGCUUGCAGCCCUGUUGACCCGAUGUUUCAUGGAACAAUCACAGAAGAGCUAACCAGUCAUGAAGAAUGGAGUCACUAUAAUGAAAACAUAAGAGAAGGUCAAAAAGAUUUUGUUUUUGUGAAGUUCAAUGGCCUUCAUUUAAAGUCUAUGGAAAAUUUGCAGUCUUGCAUCUCUCUUAGAGUAUGCAUCUUCUCAAACAAUUUUAUUACAGAUAUUCAUCCACUUCAAAGUUGUAUAAAAUUAAUCAAACUUGAUCUCCAUGGAAAUCAGGUAAGCAAUAGCCAUUUCAGAUAUUUGCAUAUAAAUGAAAUUUCAGUUUUAUAAUAAGUACUUAUGUUUCCUAUCCACAGUAUUUCUUCAAGAUGGUCUUUUGUCUAAAAUAUAAACAAAAAUUUAACAAUAAAUUGAAAGCAUGUAAGAUGUAUAUAAAUACAGACACUUUGAUGUAAAUGAAAAUACAUAAAUAGUGUGUAAUCUGGUAUGUUUCACUUCUUAAAUCUAUAGCCUGGAUUAAGAAUGCCUCAUGAUUCCUUAAUUUUCGUUAGGUAAGGAAAGUAUUUUAGAAAAGUUUAAAGAGUCAACCUAUUACAAAGAAAUUUUCGUUGAACAAAAAAGUAUGGUUAUGCAUUUUGCUACGCUAAUAAUAAUAAAUUGUCUCAGAUGCCCAGUGUAUUAUGGUUUUCAACUGGCCAUCAUUGGAUAAUUAUAAAUACUCUGUUUGCUUAUUAAUUAGAAACUUGCUAUUUGGGGAAUAUUGAAUUUUAUAUGUGUAAUAUUUUACCAUUUUCUGUGCUAUUCGAAAAAAGUAAUUUUGGAAUUUAAAAGAUUUUUAAUAAUAUUUCAGAUAAAGAGUCUACCAAAUACCAAAUUUUGGAAUGGAUUGAAGAACCUAAAACUACUCUAUCUUCAUGACAAUGGGUUUGCAAAGUUAAAGAAUAUAUGUGUAUUAUCUGCCUGUCCAACCCUCAUUGCCCUCACUAUGUUUGAUUGUCCAGUAAGCCUUAAAAAAGGAUAUAGACAUGUUCUUGUUAACAGUAUAUGGCCUCUCAAAGCACUGGAUCAUCAUGUGAUUUCUGAUGAAGAAAUAAUUCAGAACUGGCAUCUUCCUGAAAGAUUCAAAGCAUGUAACCAUCGACUUUUCCUUAAUUUCUGCCCAGCUUUGAGAAAGGUAAUUGGCUUCUUUAGGGUUUCAUUUUAAUUAAAUGUAUAAAAGGAAAAUUUUAGCUUCUGAGUUCUAUAUCUAAAUUAUGUAAACUUUUUAAUAGUUUUGCAUCAUUUAUAUAAAAUAAUAUAAACCAGUGAAUAUAUUUGUAAUGUCUUUCUAUCUGAAACUUUAUAAAAGUUUGUAUGCCAGCUACAUAAAAAAAAGCCUGAAAUGAUCAAAUUGUAGAGAAACAAAUUUUUGUUUUUUAAAUUGAAAGUAAAUCUCUAAUUUAUUCAGGAUUUGGUAUAUGAAAGACUCCAUUGGGAAAUACUUAAUGUUUUUUAAGAGUGUUAAAGGACGACUUAGAUUAUUAUUAGAAAAUAAAAUAUUUAAUUCUUACACAAUUAAUUUGGUUAUUUAACAAGAUAAAACCAUCAUUAUCUGUUGAUUUAUAAAAUGUUAGAAGAAGUGAUUGUGAAAAGUUGAUACCUAGUUAAUGGAUACAGACUACUUAAGUGGAUUUACAAAAACAUAAGGAAAUAUUCUUUAUAACACGUGAAUGAAUAUUGGAACAAAUCAUUUAAGAGUUCAAAAGAGGGGGUUAAAUUAGGUACAAGAUAUAGUAACAAUGUAAGUUGCAGGAAAUGUUUAUAAUAUGUUCUAAAGAUAUGUGAAGUCACAUAUAUGUGUAGAAAUUUUGAGGAAGAAUAGAACAUCAUUUUGAACAGUGAGUAUAUCUAAAAGAAUAUAUAAACAUUGAACAGUGAUUAUGCAUGGAAAAACUGAAAAUUACAAAGUUGGAAGAAUUUUAUUACUGCAUAUAAUUUUUUUAGUUAGGGGUAUAGUACUGAUUUUGUAAUAGUUUUAAAAAUUUAGGAUUUUGGUAAUAAUUUUGUACUAAUAGUUAAAAAUAUAAAAAACAAGGUAGUAUUUAAGUCUGAUAUCUUAACCUGGGCCAUAAAUAAAUAAUUUCACUUAGGUACUUCAGUUGUGUAGUAUGGCAUAAUCAAAGGUGGCAACAUGCAUGACCCUUUUAAGGAUAAUCAAAGUGACUGAGAUUCAUUUAAGGAAGUAAUGGAAAGUUGGGCAGUGGGCAUUAAGAAAGAAGUUGGAUGACCUGCUAAAGAGCUUAGACUUGAUGAAUAUAAUGAAGAUUAAUUGAAAUUAUUUGAGUAGGAAAAUUAGGGUAGGUCCCUCAUAGUAAGUGCUCUAUGAAUAAAUGGUAUUGACAAGGUUUUUAAAAGGUGAUCAACCCAACAUUUAGCUAGCAGAUUAAUGGAGGAUAGAAGCCAAAUGAGGGCAAGGGGAUCAAUUACUAUAGGUUCAAAAUGAUGUGAUUAGGAUUGAUAUAGGCAGAUACCAGUAAUAAAGAAGAAAGAACACAGUGUAGAGGACAGACACAUAUUCAGUGAAUGCCAUUGUGGUAGGCACUUUAUACAUUUUAUUUCUUCAUUCUUUCACCAAGUAUAUACUGAGUACCUAAUAUAUGAAAAGGACUGUCUGGGACUUGGAGAUUCAGUGGUAAAUAAUACUGACAAAAUUCUUGUCCUCAUUAAGUCCAAGGGAAAGGCACAGAGAAUAGACACAUCUGAAAAUAAAAAUAAAACAAAACAACCAUAAAAUGUAAGCUAGUGUUAAUUGCUACAGAAAAGAAAGUAAGGCAUUAACACAGACUGAAAGGGGUAGAGAUUUGGGCUACAUUAGCUAGGAUGGAUGGGGAAGGUCUUUUUGAAAAAUAUUUAUUCCUCAUUGUUUCCUUGGAUGUGGAAAAGUAUUAGUCUUAUUUUACAGGAGAAAAUGAAGCAUAGUGAGGUUUAGGAACUUACCCAAUAUUGGACAGAAAAUGAGUCAUGAGCUGGGAUUUCAACAAGUCUACAGUCAACAUUGCAUCACAAAUGACAGACAGUGCAGAGAUUUGAGUGUACUUUUCACACUGAAUGUGGAAAGAGGAGAAGAAUAAGUGUGGAAAUACUCCUCUACUAUUUUGAAGCUGGAUAACUGGGACAGAAAAGAACUUAUUUAACAGAAAUGGCAGCACUUAAAGACUUUUGGUAAAAAGAUAAGUUUGGUCAUACUUAUUUGAGGCAGGAUAUUAAAGAAGAAAUAUUAACUAGACAUUGGAAAUGAAAAACAAAAAUUCAGAAAUAGUGUUCUGGACUUGAGUGUAAAUUCAGGAGUAUUUGCUUGGGGUCAUAGUUAAAGCCUACUUCUCUCAGGUAAAUACAGGGAUCAAUAAAGGCUGAAAACUAAGGACACAACCUUGGGCACGGUCUCAUUUUGUGGGUAGAAAGCAGUGUAACCAAUGAAGAUAAAGGAUAAUUGAUCUCAGCAGGUAAGAGU